rnacentral:other from 1 species
GCCUCGGCGGGGAUAAGGGCAUCUCCUCUUCUUCCUGAAGGACACUCCCUUCGGAUGAUGAAUGGGAACUCCCUUCCUCCUGCAGCAGCUGUCCUGCGGCCUCCUAAUAGUGCCCUGUGAGUACUGCAGCAGCUGUCUGUCCUGAAAGAAAGCGCCCCAGAGCC